rfam:Ovis aries breed Texel chromosome 3, whole genome shotgun sequence.
UCCCCAAUGGUCCAGCAGUUAGGACUCAGACUCUCACUACUGAGGACCGGGGUUCAAGCCCUGGUUGGGGAG